rnacentral:rRNA from 1 species
CUCGGCUCUCGCAUCGAUGAAGAACGUAGCGAAAUGCGAUACUUGGUGUGAAUUGCAGUCUUUGAACGCAAGUUGCGCCCGAAGCCGUCAGGCCGAGGGCACGUCUGCCUGGGCGUCACGCAUCGCGUCGCCCCCCCCUUCCCUCGACC